rnacentral:tRNA from 1 species
UCCUUGGUGGCUCAGUGGUAAAGAAUCUGCCUGUCAGUGCAGGAGACAUGGGUUCAAUCCCCAAUCCAGGAA